UGCCGACCUGCAGUAACGACUCCCGCUAUCCGUCUGGAAGCAACCUGUCAUUCCAUAAUAUCCCAAAGGAUCAAGACCUACGCAAACGCUGGAUAAUAAGUAUCAGACGCGACGAAGGGCCAUUAUUCAAGGUAACAGACUCAACUCGUGUGUUCCACACAUUUUACUGAAGAUUCAUAUCAGCGAACCCUAACAGGAAUUCGCAGAUUAAAGAAAGGAGCAGUGCCAACCAUUUUCUCUUGGAAGGAGAAGCAGCCACCUAGAAAGCGAUCAAGAAGCUAUUCAUAUGAGGACAAACUCACAGAUAUUUCUUCUGGACCCGAUCACAGCAGCAUGGAUGUAACUACUGCACCAGCUCCUAUGCCUGAUCAUGAUUAUGCCAACCCACCAACUAGUA